AUUGAACGCUGGCGGCAGGCCUAACACAUGCAAGUCGAGCGGAUGAAGGGAGUUUGCUCCUGGAUUCAGCGGCGGACGGGUGAGUAAUGCCUAGGAAUCUGCCUGGUAGUGGGGGAUAACGUCCGGAAACGGGCGCUAAUACCGCAUACGUCCUGAGGGAGAAAGUGGGGGAUCUUCGGACCUCACGCUAUCAGAUGAGCCUAGGUCGGAUUAGCUAGUUGGUGGGGUAAAGGCCUACCAAGGCGACGUUCCGUAACUGGUCUGAGAGGAUGAUCAGUCACACUGGAACUGAGACACGGUCCAGACUCCUACGGGAGGCAGCAGUGGGGAAUAUUGGACAAUGGGCGAAAGCCUGAUCCAGCCAUGCCGCGUGUGUGAAGAAGGUCUUCGGAUUGUAAAGCACUUUAAGUUGGGAGGAAGGGCAGUAAGUUAAUACCUUGCUGUUUUGACGUUACCAACAGAAUAAGCACCGGCUAACUUCGUG
rnacentral:rRNA from 1 species